GCCCUGAAUUUUUUUUUAGAAGCAAGAAAGAAUCGUCGUCUUAUCUUGGUGUCACAGUGCGUGACAGUAGCCAUUGGAUGACAACGGUCAAUGACUUUACAACUUUAUUAGAAUAUGAAGUACGUAGGUAGGGUGCAAAGUUCACAUCAUGCACGCACGCAUGACGUGUGCACGGAUCGGCGCUGGGAUAUUUGUUUUUGGGUUCGGAGAGCACGUCGUCUCACCUCGAUG
rnacentral:lncRNA from 1 species